UACGUAGGGACCGAGCGUUGUCCGGAAUCAUUGGGCGUAAAGAGCGUGUAGGCGGCUUGUUAAGUCUUGCGUGAAAUCUCGGGGCUCAACCCCGAGCGGUCGUGAGAAACUGGCAGGCUAGAGUGCGGGAGAGGAGAGUGGAAUUCCUGGUGUAGCGGUGAAAUGCGCAGAUAUCAGGAAGAACACCCGUGGCGAAGGCGGCUCUCUGGAACGCAACUGACGCUGAGACGCGAAAGCGUGGGGAGCAAACGGG
rnacentral:rRNA from 1 species